UUCUGAGGAACUAUUAAUAGUGUAGCAGUCAGUCCCAGUCAAGGCACAGUGCAGACAUGAGGGCUCCUGCUCAUCUCCUGGGGCUGCUGCUGCUCUGGAUCCCAGGUUCCAGAUGUGACAUCCAGAUGACCCAGUCUCUAUCUCAGAUUGUAUCACUAGGAGACACAGUCACCAUCAGGUGUCAAGCCAGUCAGAGCAUUGAUAACGUAUUAAACUGGUAUCAGCAAACAUCAGGGAAAUCUCCUAAGCUCCUGAUCUAUGGUGCAACUCGUAUGGAAGAUGGGGUCCCAUUGAGGUUUCGUGGCAGUGGGUUUGGGAGAGUUUUUACCCUCACCAUCAGCAGUGUGGAGCCAGAAGAUAAUGGAACUUAUUAUUGUCAACAGUUCUAUGAUUACCCACCCACUGCAGAACAAGUUAUAACAUAAACCAUUGCGCAAAGC